GAUGAACGCUGGCGGCGUGCCUAAUACAUGCAAGUCGAGCGAACAGAUGAGGAGCUUGCUCCUCUGACGUUAGCGGCGGACGGGUGAGUAACACGUGGAUACCCUACCUAUAAGACUGGGAUCACUUCGGGAAACCGGAGCUAAUACCGGAUAAUAUAUUGAACCGCAUGGUUCAAUAGUGAAAGACGGUUUUGCUGUCACUUAUAGAUGGAUCCGCGCCGCAUUAGCUAGUUGGUAAGGUAACGGCUUACCAAGGCAACGAUGCGUAGCCGACCUGAGAGGAUGAUCAGCCACACUGGAACUGAGACACGGUCCAGACUCCUACGGGAGGCAGCAGUAGGGAAUCUUCCGCAAUGGGCGAAAGCCUGACGGAGCAACGCCGCGUGAGUGAUGAAGGUCUUCGGAUCGUAAAACUCUGUUAUUAGGGAAGAACAAAUGUGUAAGUAACUAUGCACGUCUUGACGGUACCUAAUCAGAAAGCCACGGCUAACUACGUG
rnacentral:rRNA from 1 species